rnacentral:rRNA from 1 species
AGCGGCGGACGGGUGAGUAACACGUGGGCAACCUGCCUAUAAGACUGGGAUAACUUCGGGAAACCGGAGCUAAUACCGGAUAAUUCAUAUCUACUCAUGUAGGUAUGCUGAAAGACGGUUUACGCUGUCACUUAUAGAUGGGCCCGCGGCGCAUUAGCUAGUUGGUGAGGUAACGGCUCACCAAGGCAACGAUGCGUAGCCGACCUGAGAGGGUGAUCGGCCACACUGGGACUGAGACACGGCCCAG